rnacentral:lncRNA from 1 species
AAAUUGCAACAGACAGAACUGAAAAGAGUUUUACACAUAGAUUCCAGUCAAUUACAGAUAGAAGAACACUAUCUUCCUUUACGACCUUACUACGUACAAAGGUUAAGCGAAUUAUUACGAAGUCCUUAUAUGGGUUUCGGAUUUUGCCAUUUCCUUUCACCCUGCGACUGCUACUGUUACUGGCUUACUGCUACUGCACCUGAAAAUCAAACACAGAUCAAGAUUGCGUCUACAUGUUUCAAACUCAAAAACACUUGAAAUAGUCAGAUUUUAGAUGAAGUUACUAAACUGUUUAUGUUAAGUUAUGACUGUUGACACAAGUUCCACCUCGGAAGACAUCAAAUAAUGUAUCUGUGAUGAGAUUAGAAAUCUCACAUCGAAAAGAAAAGAAGAUGAGGCCUAAGAAAAAUACCAAACUGAGGGAAAUACUCUCAUAUCAUUAGAUUCAUUACACUUACCUUGAACUAAUGUUUGGGCUCAGAAGUUUCCCCUGCUUCCCUCAUAACUUCAGCUUGAAUCCCUUGGACAGAAAUCCACCCCUGAGAUUGUAACAUAAGAUGUUUCAGCAUAUCAAAGAAUGAAGAUACCUAAGACUUAGAUUUUCCUUAUUAUCAUUUAUACAAUUCUAUCAAGAAAACAAAACGAGUAAGAAAACACUGGCUAGAGAUGAGCAUACCCUCUUCUGCAUCAUUUGAUCUUUCCUACGCUGAGCUUCAGUAGGAUCUCCUUUNN